rnacentral:rRNA from 1 species
UACGUAGGCAGCAAGCGUUGUUCGGAAUUACUGGGCGUAAAGAGUGUGUAGGCGGUUCUCUAAGUUCGGUGUGAAAUCUCCCGGCUCAACUGGGAGGGUGCGCCGGAAACUGGAGGGCUUGAGUAUGGGAGAGGAAAGCGGAAUUCCUGGUGUAGCGGUGAAAUGCGUAGAUAUCAGGAGGAACACCUGCGGUGUAGACAGCUUUCUGGACCAUCACUGACGCUGAGACACGAAAGCGUGGGUAGCAAACAGG